GCUGUUGGGUGAAGAGGCCCAGGAAUGAACGCUGGGCACGGUGCCUGAGUCGGACUGAGAGUGUUCCUUCUGAGAACAGC
ensembl:snoRNA